UGGGGAAUAUUGCACAAUGGGCGCAAGCCUGAUGCAGCCAUGCCGCGUGUAUGAAGAAGGCCUUCGGGUUGUAAAGUACUUUCAGCGGGGAGGAAGGGAGUAAAGUUAAUACCUUUGCUCAUUGACGUUACCCGCAGAAGAAGCACCGGCUAACUCCGUGCCAGCAGCCGCGGUAAUACGGAGGGUGCAAGCGUUAAUCGGAAUUACUGGGCGUAAAGCGCACGCAGGCGGUUUGUUAAGUCAGAUGUGAAAUCCCCGGGCUCAACCUGGGAACUGCAUCUGAUACUGGCAAGCUUCAGUCUCGUAGAGGGGGGUAGAAUUCCAGGUGUGGCGGUGAAAUGCGUAGAGAUCUGGAGGAAUACCGGUAGCGAAGGCGGCCCCCUGGACGAAGACUGACGCUCAGGUGCGAAAGCGUGGGGAGCAAACAGG
rnacentral:rRNA from 1 species